ACGAACGCUGGCGGUGUGCUUAACACAUGCAAGUCGAACGGUAAGGCCCUUUCGGGGGUACACGAGUGGCGAACGGGUGAGUAACACGUGAGUAACCUGCCCUCAUCUCUGGGAUAACAGUCGGAAACGGUUGCUAAUACUGGAUAUGAGCUUGCAAGGCAUCUUGUGGGUUGGAAAGAUUUUUUUUGGUUGGGGAUGGACUCGCGGCCUAUCAGCUUGUUGGUGAGGUAGUGGCUCACCAAGGCUUCGACGGGUAGCCGGCCUGAGAGGGCGACCGGCCACAUUGGGACUGAGAUACGGCCCAAACUCCUACGGGAGGCAGCAAUGGGGAAUAUUGCACAAUGGACGGAAGUCUGAUGCAGCAACGCCGCGUGCGGGAUGACGGCCUUCGGGUUGUAAACCGCUUUCAAUUGUGACGAAGCUUUUUUGUGACGGUAGCAGUAGAAGAAGCACCGGCUAACUACGUG
rnacentral:rRNA from 1 species